rnacentral:lncRNA from 1 species
GAAAUGUGGUGUACAUAGACCACAUUUUGAAGAUGAUGAUGAGGCCAUGUGAAAAGCCAUGGCUGAACCUUCAAGAAAUGGCUAUCAGUGAACUGAGCAAGACCCAGAGGACAGGUGAUGAGUUGUUUGCCUCAUGGAGAAGAAGAACUUGCAACUGAGGAGUUGGAGGGGUGUGCACACCUGUGUUCCAGAACUGCCAACACCAAUAAGGCAUCUUCUACGGGAGGUAAUAUUGAGUCA